rnacentral:rRNA from 1 species
GCUAGUUGGUGAGGUAAUGGCUCACCAAGGCGACGAUCCGUAACUGGUCUGAGAGGAUGAUCCAGUCACACUGGAACUGAGACACGGUCCAGACUCCUACGGGAGGCAGCAGUGGGGAAUAUUGGACAAUGGGCGAAAGCCUGAUCCAGCCAUGCCGCGUGUGUGAAGAAGGUCUUCGGAUUGUAAAGCACUUUAAGUUGGGAGGAAGGGCAGUUACCUAAUACGUGAUUGUUAGACGUACCGACAGAAAAGCCC